rnacentral:rRNA from 1 species
GACGAACGCUGGCGGCGUGCCUAAUACAUGCAAGUCGAACGCUGAAGGAGGAGCUUGCUUCUCUGGAUGAGUUGCGAACGGGUGAGUAACGCGUAGGUAACCUGCCUGGUAGCGGGGGAUAACUAUUGGAAACGAUAGCUAAUACCGCAUAAUAGUAGAUGUUGCAUGACAUUUGCUUAAAAGGUGCAAUUGCAUCACUACCAGAUGGACCUGCGUUGUAUUAGCUAGUUGGUGGGGUAACGGCUCACCAAGGCGACGAUACAUAGCCGACCUGAGGGUGAUCGGCCACACUGGGACUGAGACACGGCCCAGACUCCUACGGGAGGCAGCAGUAGGGAAUCUUCGGCAAUGGACGGAAGUCUGACCGAGCAACGCCGCGUGAGUGAAGAAGGUUUUCGGAUCGUAAAGCUCUGUUGUAAGAGAAGAACGAGUGUGAGAGUGGAAAGUUCACACUGUGACGGUAUCUUACCAGAAAGGGACGGCUAACUACGUG